rnacentral:lncRNA from 1 species
AGAUUAUGACCUGACAGAACCUACCUUGUGGCCUGACUUGACUGAACUCGCCUUAUGGCCGUGAUUAGUGGGAUCGAUCAUUGAUUGUAGUCUGGCAAAAUCCACCUUGUGGCCUUUAUCAGUGGGACCGAUGCCUUGAGUAUGGUCUAGCAGAACCCGCCUUAUGGCCUUAAUUAGUGGGACCAAUGCCCAGAUUAUAGUCUGGUGGAAAUUGCCUUGUGGCCUUGAUUAGUGGGAUUGAUCCCUAAUUGUGGUUUGGCAGAACCCGCCUUGUGGCCUUGAUC